GAUAAAUGUUUGGUAUGUUUAUUUGAAAUAAUUGGAUAGGUGAAACAAUUGAGUAACAAGUUGUGAUGGGAUUAAACUUCAUCGAUUAGUCCUAUGGUGUCUUUCCUUAAUAAUACUCCGUUUGUUUCUAUAUGUAAACAUCUUUUGCCUUUAAUAAAAGGGUGCUUAGAUAUAGGGACGGAGAGAGUAAUAUAUUUCUUCUAUCUCAAUUAUGC
rnacentral:lncRNA from 1 species